GUCUUCAAUCCAGUAAAACUUUGAAGAUUUGAAAUUUGUGCAUUGACGGCUUCUUCAAUGACAAAUUUAUUGGCUUUGGUGUUAGUAUUGAAAGAAAUCAAGAAAGAAGAAUACUAAAAUCAACUGUAAAUGCCUACAGCAACAUACCCGCCACCAUCGCUGUAUUGCAAGCUCUACGAGGACUAUCUACAGUAUCCAAACUCUGCUUCUGAACCACCGCCCCCAAUCCCAGGCACCUAUGUUCUCUACGGUGCAAAUUACACAAACCUUAAUUAUCAAUUUUAUUUUAUUAUUUUUUAUUUUUUUUGGGUUUUGCUUUUGUAUGUAAGUUUCUAAAUUAAAGUUAGCUUUCUUAUAAUGGAUUUGUGAAAUAGCAUUCCAAUAUGGUGAUAGUCAAAAGGGUCUUUUUAAUCAUUCACCAGGUUUUCUUUUUAUUAGUUAUGGGUUUGAAUUAAGGAUGAUGUUGAAUAGAUAAUGGUGAAGGAAAGAAAGAAAUUGGUCUGUACUAAUUAAGCAAUUUCAUUUUUGAAUUUUGAUCCUAUAGGAGAUGUUAAUAACUUUUUUCAUGAUUGUCAUGUAUUGGAAAUAUUUCAAUUAAAAUGUGAAGCAUAUGUAAGCUGGUUCUCUAUAUGUUGUUAUUUAUUGCUCUGAAACUAAAUAAGUCAAUCCUUAUUGUAAAAAUUCUACUGCCAAAAGUUUAUUUCUUUUCUUUUGAAUAUGUAAAAGGAUAACCUUGUUUUAAACUUUUUAUGUAGAUUGAUGAUGUGCUUCCUACUCAAUUAGAGCAUGGCGUCCAUCAAUUGUACCCAAAACGGUAAAAUGUUGGUAUGAUUUGCAUAUUGCAUCACUUUUUGACAGUAGUUUUGAAUGUGAAGGAUAUUUAAUCAACUGUUAUACCACUUUAUUGCCAUCAAUAGGCAUUUUAGUAUCAAAUUUUCAAGCAGUGUGUUGGCUUUUUUGCUUUGCUGUUAUUUGAUGAUCAUUUGUACCCGUGGAGGUUUAAUAUAUUUGAGCUUGUACAAUUUUCUUCAUUUAUGCUCGGAGUUUGUAAGUAAUUUGCUCGGUUUCAUCUAACAGCAAGCUCGCAAGAUGCAAU
rnacentral:lncRNA from 1 species